UACGUAGGGUGCAAGCGUUGUCCGGAAUUAUUGGCGUAAAGAGCUCGUAGGCGGCUCGUCGCGUCGGCUGUGAAAACCUGGGGCUCAACCCCGGGCCUGCAGCCGAUACGGGCGAGCUAGAAUUCGGUAGGGGAGACUGGAAUUCCUGGAUGUAGCGGUGAAAUGCGCAGAUAUCAGGAGGAACACCGGUGGCGAAGGCGGGUCUCUGGGCCGAUAUUGACGCUGAGGAGCGAAAGCGUGGGGAGCGAACAGG
rnacentral:rRNA from 1 species